rnacentral:tRNA from 1 species
CGGCCCGUAGCUCAAUGGCGGAGCACGGAGCUUAUACCUCCGGGGUUGUAGGUUCGAAUCCUACCGGGCCGA